rnacentral:misc_RNA from 1 species
CUCAAUUGUCACAUUGAAACAAAAUAGGUUUACUCUUGCGGGCGAUAUUUAGUGUAAUACAUUAAAUUAAUUCCAUUCAUUUGAUGUUGUAAAAAUGGGCCGAUCAAGGUCUCGGAGUAAGUCGCCUAGGCGUCACCACAAAAGCAGUAAACAUUCGCGAAAGAAGAGCCGAUCUAAGGAUCGUUCUUCGUCAAGGAGUAGGAGUUCCAAACAUGCCGAGAAAUCAAGAGAACGGAGCUCUAAAUCUAGAAAACGUUCCCAUUCCGUGUCGUCGUCCAGUAGCAGUGUUGUGUCUUUCGAAGGCAGUAGAAGUCGUAGGAAGAAGUCUAAAGGUCGCAAUAAGAUGGAUGAGGUAGACAGACUUGCGGAAAUGGAGAGGCAAAGACGUGUCAGGGAGGCAGAACAGAAGGUUGUUGAAGAAGAGGCUGCCAAAAGGAUAGAGCUUCUAGUUAAGAAGCGAGUUGAAGAAGAGUUAGAGAAAAGGAAGGAUGAAAUCGAACAAGAAGUGGCUAAAAGGGUUGAAGAGGCCAAGCGCAAGAUGGAGAAAGAGAUGAUGGAAGAAUUGGAACGGCAGAGAGAACAACAGCGCCGAGAGGAAGCUGCCCGUCAGGUAACUGGUGCAUUCUUCUACCAGUCAUGUGCAACAGCAAUCCUGAACACAUUGCUCUUACACAUGACCCUCGCCUUGCGAGGAACCUUGUCAGCACCUUAUAAACACACUAAGUGUAAAAUCAAAUGUUUUUUACCAACAUUUUAUUACAAAGUAACUAAUGAAAGUAUUAUUUCGAUCAUGUUAAAGGUCCAGUCAGGUGUAGUUCGAGUGCUUACAAGAAUUUUGUUGUUAAAUUCUUUUUACAUUGUCACUCACUGCCGCUGAGGCCUGUUUUAAAUUGACAUUCCCACUACAUGCAUGUCAUUCACAUCAAUGAAGCGGACUUAUGUUCUGCAAUAUAGUAAUACUGCCUUGAAGGCGACUGGCUAGCAUUUUAAAAUUGUUCGCUUGACUGUGCUUGGCAGUCACGUAGUCUAUAAGUCAGGUCAGAAGACUGAUCAAGAUCAACGAGCCGUAAGAAUUUAAUGGAGACGCAGCUUGAGGACCCGGUCGUGAAUGAUAAAGGAGGAAGAAGCUCGUAAAAGGAAAGAGUUGGAGGAUAUCAUGGCAGAAAAUAAUAAAAAAAUUGAGGAAGCCCAGCGCAAGUUGGUGAG